rnacentral:rRNA from 1 species
CCUACGGGUGGCAGCAGUGGGGAAUAUUGCGCAAUGGGCGAAAGCCUGAAGCAGCGACGCCGCGUGCGGGAUGAAGGUCUUCGGAUCGUAAACCUCUGUCAGCAGGGAAGAACGGUCACUGUGCUAAUCAGCAGUGAAUUGACGGUACCUGCAAAGGCAGCAUCAGCUAACUCCGUGCCAGCAGCCGCGGUAAUACGGAGGGUGCGAGCGUUAAUCGGAAUUACUGGGCGUAAAGCGAUCGUAGGCGGUAUGUCAAGUCAAGGGUGAAAUCCCCGGGCUCAACGUUGGAACUGCCUUUGAAACUGGCAAACUUGAGUGGAUGAGAGGAGAGUGGAAUUCCAGGUGUAGGAGUGAAAUCCGUAGAUAUCUGGAGGAACAUCAAUGGCGAAGGCGACUAACUGGCACAUAACUGACGCUGAGGAGCGAAAGCGUGGGUAGCAAACAGGAUUAGAUACCCCAGUAGUC